UUGAUUCGGCAACAUGUACCAGUUAAUACAGUAAUAAUACAGCAAUUCAGAAUUGGUGUGUACCUUUGCUAAGGUUUGCCUCUCAAAUCUUCAUGGUGCUUGACAGAAACAGGAGCGGUGGGCAAAGAGAAAACAAAAAGCUACAGGAGGGGUAGGAAUCUGAAGACUCGGUGCUACUUAAGGAACUAUGCAGGCCUUUGUUUUUAGCAUGCAGCAGCACACUCAUGCACCAGCAUCUUUCAGGUGGAUCUGUAGAAAGUAAAGUAGGUCAUCUCAUCCAUCACAAGGAAGAAAUGCAUAGCCUGGCUUUCCCAGUUCAGGGAAUGAAGACAUUGAAGAUUAUGCUAUGUGACUUCAACCAGCAAUUUCAAUGUGUUCUGUGUGGGAUUUCUUCAGAGUGCUGGAGACUGAGAAUUGCAUGUGUGGCAAAUUCUCCUGACCCCUAAUGGCAAUUUCUGGCUCUGCCCCCUUUCUCCCUGUGUUGGGAAUACACCUGAAAGAAGUUUGGCUGAUCUAAAAGAAAUCAAUCUUCAGCGCCCCAACCUAAGGAAGGAGAGAACACCAACUUUAGCAACUAAAAGAAGACUGAAUUAUAUGGAGUAAAAAAGAGAGAAUUGAAUUUAUGAAGGGAUGAAAUAUUGUACAUUUUGGAAGAGGAGGCUUUCAGAAGAGAACUAAAUCCUAUUGAAAGCACCAACUAGUCUUCAGUUAUUGAAUAACUCCUGAAAGAGCAUGUAUCUUCAGAGACAUUCUAAAUUGGAUCGCUGGUGAAUACAUAGACCUGCAACCUGGGAUGAAAAAGGAGAAUCCUUUCAUUUCCACAGUAAGCCCUCUCCCUUUUCCUCAUCCAAAAGUCUAAAGCAACAGAUGUCAAUCCCCAGUU